UACGUAGGGUCCGGGCGUUGUCCGGAAUUACUGGGCGUAAAGAGCUCGUAGGUGGUUUGUCGCGUUGUUCGUGAAAACUCACAGCUCAACUGUGGGCGUGCGGGCGAUACGGGCAGACGUUGAGUACUGCAGGGGAGACUGGAAUUCCUGGUGUAGCGGUGGAAUGCGCAGAUAUCAGGAGGAACACCGGUGGCGAAGGCGGGUCUCCGGGCCGAUACUGGACGCCUGAGGAGCGAAAGCGUGGGGAGC
rnacentral:rRNA from 1 species